CGACGAGUGGCGGACGGGUGAGUAACGCAUAGGAAUCUGCCUUAUAGUGGGGGACAACCUGGGGAAACCCAGGCUAAUACCGCAUACGCCCUUCGGGGGAAAGGCUUCGGCCGCUAUUAGAUGAGCCUAUGUCUGAUUAGCUUGUUGGUGGGGUAAUGGCCUACCAAGGCGACGAUCAGUAGCUGGUCUGAGAGGACGAUCAGCCACACUGGGACUGAGACACGGCCCAG
rnacentral:rRNA from 1 species